ACAACAAAAUGAAGAGUACAUGGAAAGUGUCAUUGCAUUUGUACUAGCUAGCUGACUGAUCUAGAGGAAUAUUAUUUGGAGGCCCUUUUACCCAUUCUUUUCGCAUUUUUCCUAUAAGUAGGUGCUCCUGCCCAGUGAGAAAUCUAACAUCUCCCAAAGUUCCAAACUCGAAUCUCUUCUCUUUUAUCUCUCUUUGAUGAUCAUCAUCCCUUUCCUAUCUCUAUUUUUAUGGGGAAAAGGUGAGACGGGAGGCACUAGUUGGUAAUUAAGGUUGUUGACAGAAGAUAGAGAGCACAGAUGAUGAUAUGCAUAUUAUAUAAAAAGCAGCUAGGGAACUCAUGAAUUGUGCAUCUCACUCCUUUGUGCUCUCUAUACUUCUGUCAUCACCCUUCAGCCUCCCUGUCUCACUACCCCUCUACACCAACUGUUAGUAUAUAUCUAGUUACUGGAGCUGGAAUUCAUAUAUAAAUUAGUUUAAUAAGCAUGCUCAUGCGUGUAUAAUAUGAUGUUCACAGGUUUUAAAAAAACUGUGAGUCCAUGACUGCAUCGCUAUUGCAAUUGUAGCCACAUCAACUGUAUUUGUUAACGAUUUUAUGUAAUAUUAAAACGCAACAAAACUGCAGUGGCAGCCGCAGUUUGAAACUUUCUUCUCAUACCAUAUUCUCUGAUAGAUAUUAAUAUUAAUUUGCUUGUAUAUAUGAUGGCUAUUAUUAACCUUUGUAUUUUGCAGUUAGACGUGCACUGCCGCUGUGGCUGUUGGACACUACAAAUCUGUUUGUUGAUGGUACGAGGAGGUUAGAAUGAAAGGGUUUAAGUUUAACUUUUGCGCAAGUGCAAUUCAUUCCGUACCGAUACCUCUUGUUCAAAAGCUUGCAUUUGAUUUGCUACACUGCCUCUGAGAUAUAAUUAGAGAGUGAUCAUAGACUCGUUAUCAUGAUCACAAUAUGAUUCUUAACAAGAAGAAUGUACUGUAACUUGCUUCUUGGAAGAAGGACCACAUGCAAUUGGAAGUUGUGGCAAGGGGAUUGUGAAGAAAAUAUAUGGGGUCCAAAUUCCAAACUGACCAUGACAUAUUGUAGGACAUAUAUAUAUAUACUUAAUUGCUCAGUAUUCUUUCAAGUCAAUACCCCACACUCAGUCUUGUUCACUGACUUACAAUGGUGAUCUCUAGCUAGAGAGUGUGAAUAUAUCAUCAAUAGAUAAGAGCAACAAUGUAUUUUAUGCAACAAAGUUAUAAGGUUUAAUGUAUGCAUGUCCUAUUUACUGUAUUCACGAACAAAACCAAAGGUUAAAAACAUGUAAUCAAAUUGGUCAUGGUCCAA